rnacentral:rRNA from 1 species
GGGUUGUGAGGUUAAGCGACUAAGCGUACACGGUGGAUGCCCUGGCAGUCAGAGGCGAUGAAGGACGUGCUAAUCUGCGAUAAGCGUCGGUAAGGUGAUAUGAACCGUUAUAACCGGCGAUU